GUGCCUAGGAGGCAGCCAUGGGAGGGCUUAGGAUGUGGAGGCGCGGGCUUGGGAUGUGGGGGCGCACCCUCAAGAUGCGCCAGUGACGCGGGUUUGAGAUGCGGCAACCGAAUCCAUUCCAUCCUAGCUCACCGUCGCUCUCUCCGUACUCAUAUACAGAUCAGCAAUCAUAAUCGAGGAUAUAAGGAAAUGUAAACAUAUUGUUUUCACAGAAACUAUGCAAGGAUCUGUCACAUCUGGUACCAGGCUAACUUCCUCGGUGCUCUUCCUAUCCAUGUAUGCACAUUUCAGAAGGUGUAGAACACUUCGACAUAAUAUAGAUUAGUGAUUUCAGUUGACACGAGAGGAUGGGUUAUCCACUCAAUAAUUCAGUAGUUAGAAUCAUCCAUGGAAUAUGCUGAUAUGCUUGUUUUUGUUAGUGUCCGAUGGGCAUAUCAUUUGUAGUUGAAGAUAAAGGAAAGAGAGGCACCAUCCAUGCGGUCUGAGCUCUGUGAACUGUUUAACCUGACCAAAGAGGUGUGGAAACUGUUGAUCAUGUGGUGUCCAAUGAGAAUAUCCUACCUUGAAUGAGGGGCAGUACAUAGAGUCUGCUUGUAACUGAGAGAGACUCGUGUAGUUUUUACACAACUUAUAGCUCCUCAACCAAACGCACCCAAAAGUAGUGGUGAUGGUGCUGUGAAAUUUGAACAAGCUAAAAGCUACUUUUGGUUAUACAAUAUAUAAGACAUCAAUCUUAAUAAAUCUAAUUUUUGUGACA